CACGUAGGCGGAUUUGUAAGUCAGGGGUGAAAUCCCGGGGCUCAACCUCGGAACUGCCUUUGAUACUGCAAAUCUCGAGUCCGGAAGAGGUGAGUGGAAUUCCUAGUGUAGAGGUGAAAUUCGUAGAUAUUAGGAAGAACACCAGUGGCGAAGGCGGCUCACUGGUCCGGUACUGACGCUGAGGUGCGAAAGCGUGGGGAAGCAAACAG
rnacentral:rRNA from 1 species